UUAAAACCUGAUACAUUAACAUAACAGUGAAAGUUGAUGUGAGUCUGCUUCAGAAAAAGCUCAGUCCACCAUGUAAAACUGAUGAGCUAGAGUUCUGAAGCGUGACCAGGUAGACGUACAAUUAACACAAAGCGUUUAUAUAAACGGUAGGGAAAACACACAGUUAGUAUUCGAACAGACUCCAUCAAAGUAGGUUAUUCAAGAUUAGUGAUAGAUGCGAAACAGUCGUGAAUUAGGUGUUUAUCGCUUUUAAAACAGUUCAAUAUCCAAUUAUUCCCAGAAGUAAGCAAGCGGAUCAGAGGAGUCAUGAAAACACAAAUACUGUUCUUGUUUUUAUUUGUUCUGGCCUUCUUUAUGACUGGAGCUUCUCCAACUUCCAAACAUCGCUUAAAGCGUGGUGUCCCAGGUAUCGAUUUCCUGAAUUCCUUUAUUCCUGGUGGAAUUGGUGGUUUUGGUUUCAACUUACCUGAUUUUGCAGCUUAUGGCAGAAGAGUGGCGGGAGGUAUCCAAGAAACGCUGCAUGGGAUUCAAGGUACCUUGCAGAACGAAGCCAGAAGAUAUCCUGCCAACACUCGUGGCACAACAGGAAAUGUAUUUUAUGUCAAUGGUAUGAGAUGCCACGGGAAAAAGUCUGUUGACAAAGGUGGUCACGGAGGAGGGUUUGCAUUUGCUGGUGGUUAUAGCUGUGUUCCUGCUUAGAAGAAAAUAGAAGGUAAGGAGCACAAAGGCCGCUUGAGGAACGUAAAGUCUUACGGUUUGAAGUCUUGCACAAUCUGAGUAUUUUACAUUAUUAUUUGUGUACACCAGUUUUGAGAAAUUGAAGGAAUAAAUUUUUUCUUGUGAAAUAAAAAAAUGUUUGUGAUA